UCGCAUACUAGCAUCGUCGACCGUCGAUCUCUGCUCCUCACCCCACGUCCCCCCAAAACACCCCAGAGGACUCAACUGCUCAAGGCUGUUGCCUGUUACAAUAGACGUUAUUCAUUUCUUGUUAUUCAUCCGUCGACCUUUUUUAUGUGCCGUAAUUUAGUCGUUUCCGUUGUAUACCUCGUGCGAUCCUGCGUAUCGUCGCCAUUAUUAUCCAUCCGUGAAUCCGUGCUUUUUUAAUUUUCUCGACCCAUCAUCGCUCAUUAUUGUUCCGUGCUUUUGCCGUAAGUUGCUAUGAUUUAUAACCGUUAUCACGCUCGUGAACGCCAUCCGUACACGUGGGUUUGGUCCGUUCCGACGACGUGCCGCCGGCUACUGAAUAAUAUAACAUUUAUACAUAUUAUAUAUUUAUACAUAAUAUUAUAUAUCCUUGGGAUGUAUUUCGAUCGUUAUCCGAAUGAAAGUUGUGCCGACUUUUCUCACACAGUGUCGUUUUUGUCCGGAAGUUUCCGCUUGUAACCAACGUGGCAUUACGUAUUCGCGUCCCCGACACCCGCGUACGCACAAUCCAUGCAGCUGGUGUCCAAUCAUCGUCCGCAAUUGCUACAUCCUUUGAUUUGGUCUGAUCGAGACGACGAAUAUGACAUCAACCGUUGGCCGUUAUUAUCGAUUGGUAGCAACAUAAUAAUGUAAUCAGUCUUCACCGGCACAUAGAAAACCAACUGGAUUGGAUGGAAACUGGACGUUUUGAAGCUUGAUUUAAAUGUAUGGGAUUUAUCUGUGAUAUCAACCAUAAUCAGUACAAUAUUUAUCAAGAAAAUGGUUUUAAUAUGAUUAUCAAAUUAAAUUAACCAAUUGUCAGACAUAAUUAUGAUUUGACUAUUCCCUGAUUAAUGAUGCACGACAUUUCAUUUGAGACAAAAUAUUAAAAUAAAAGCAAAUUACAUCAAAAUAUGCACAGAGGAUUGGGCCAGAAUGUUCACGUUGGAAAGGAGUCAGAUAGAUAGAUGAUAAAUCACUGGCAAAUUACAUCAAAAUAUGCUCAGAGGAUUGGGCCAGAAUGUUCACGUUGGAAAGGAGUCAGAUAGAUAGAUGAUAAGUCACUGGAACCUAUGACAGUCAAAACAGUGAGUGAAGUCCAUCAAAACGAUUGCGAAGGUUCUAUAUAAGUUACAGAUUUAAGGCCCUACACCUUAUACUUAAUAGCCAUUGCAAUUGUUACGAGCAACGGUGAAACUAUACGUUUUGAUAUCAACAUCAAAACAUUAAGUGGACAGUGGACCAAUAUUAAAAUGACUAUCAAAUUGUAAUAAAGUAUACAUCAUAUUAUUAUUAUUUUAACUACUGUUUUAACCUUCUGUUUGUCAGAAUCUUACUAUUUUUACUAUUAUUAUUAGUAUUAUAUGUAAGUACUUAAAAAAAUAUUAGGCUUCAUUUAGGGAAAUGUUAUAAUUAGGGCCCGGAUGUUGAUGACUUUCGCAUCUUUUGGGACAUUAAAAUUAGUUUCAAUAACAUACAAAUCUAUACAACUAAAUUUUAUUUUGCAGUUUUCGCGUUUUAUUCAUUCUUAAAACAUCUGUGUGGCUUUCAGGGUAAUUUUUUGAAGUUUAAGGGCAUUUUUUAUUGUUUUGUCAUUAUUAUAUUAUUUUCCACAAAUUUGUAGCGUAGAUAUGUUUAUAAGUUGUAAUUUUUAAUAUAAAAUCAAUAAAUAAUUGUAUUAACUUCAAUAGCUUGAUGAACGUUUUUAAAGUAUUUAGGUCAUUAACAUAUUAUACAAAACUGUAGAGCAUUUUUAUAGGUUUUUAGGGCAUCAACAUCCGGGACCUAGUUAUGAUUAACUAUUUAAAUUUCGUACAUAUCAUUAUUUCAAUAUUGAUAAUUUAAUGUAUAUUAUAUUGUAUUGUAUUCUAAUUAUAUUAAUAUUAUAACGUUCAUUAAACGUUGCAUUUUUAUAUUAUUAAUUAUUCAUUUUUUACUAAGACUUUUAUAUUGUCGUAUACGCUGUUCGCUAAUGACGUAGAUUAAUAAACAAACACAGUUAAAAUAUUAUAA